AUGUCUGAACAGUGAGCCGAGAGUGCCCGCCGAAUGGCAGGCAGGCCGUCCUCACUGCGAGCCUUCAGACGGAGACAGGAAGAGAGACGCUGUUGAUUACCAGACCUGAGCUGGGCAUCGAUCCUCGUAUAGCCACGGGUUGGAACGUCCAUGUGUGAUUUAGAGAGCGAGCCGCUACCCACAGCUAAAGGCCCAACAGACACGAGGAGGAGGGAUUUCAAGGAUUUUUCCGUAUUGAACAAACCAUUAUGGACCUAAAGCAGAUUGAAUGAGACAGCUGCCUUCUGUUACCCGCAAUAAAUAUGGCAGAGUCUUUUGCCAAAGACGAGGGGGAUUCAAACAGGCAGAUUUAUUAAAGACACCCAGCACGACUCUUCCCUGCAGUGCAAAAACAACCUGUGAUCCUGCUUCCUGCUCCACUUGCUGCCCACCACGUCCAACCUCCAGUAUUCUGACUCCAUUACUUGCCGAGCUCUGCUAUUCCAGCACUCCAGCCUGCCCUGACCAAAUCAUCCCUUCCAAACAUAUCCAUGGUGACCCCAGCCUUGUUGCUCCAUCAUUUAUUCGUUUGCAAAUAAUUCAGCGACGAGUCCUCACCUCUCCUUCGAUUGUCAGUUUCUCAGGGAAACUGUCUUAGCAGCACUAUGUACAAGUGUUUCUUAUAUCAAAGACUUUCUAUCUCUAAACCAGAUGUUGGAAUAGUUAGAGAUCAUCUUAUAAGCAGGGUAUUCAGUGUCACCUGUUGGCCAAAGCAGUGGUUUACAGUACCGUACACUACACUUCUAUACAGCCGUCGAAGAUUCCCCUCGUACAUCCCUUUCUCUCUGUGACCUUGGGUAAUAAUUAUUCAUAUUGUAUGAACUUAGGUCCGCUGGAACAUUUCUUCCUUCAUUAAUUCUAAUAUGUACAGUGCUGUGGGCCUGACAACUCAUGUACACACUCGUCAGUAAAACUUGCGUUUUCUC